GCUAUACUGCAGUCGAGCGAUGGAUUAAGAGCUUGCUCUUAUGAAGUUAGCGGCGGACGGGUGAGUAACACGUGGGUAACCUGCCCAUAAGACUGGGAUAACUCCGGGAAACCGGGGCUAAUACCGGAUAACAUUUUGAACCGCAUGGUUCGAAAUUGAAAGGCGGCUUCGGCUGUCACUUAUGGAUGGACCCGCGUCGCAUUAGCUAGUUGGUGAGGUAACGGCUCACCAAGGCAACGAUGCGUAGCCGACCUGAGAGGGUGAUCGGCCACACUGGGACUGAGACACGGCCCAGACUCCUACGGGAGGCAGCAGUAGGGAAUCUUCCGCAAUGGACGAAAGUCUGACGGAGCAACGCCGCGUGAGUGAUGAAGGCUUUCGGGUCGUAAAACUCUGUUGUUAGGGAAGAACAAGUGCUAGUUGAAUAAGCUGGCACCUUGACGGUACCUAACCAGAAAGCCACGGCUAACUACGUGCCAGCAGCCGCGGUAAUACGUAGGUGGCAAGCGUUAUCCGGAAUUAUUGGGCGUAAAGCGCGCGCAGGUGGUUUCUUAAGUCUGAUGUGAAAGCCCACGGCUCAACCGUGGAGGGUCAUUGGAAACUGGGAGACUUGAGUGCAGAAGAGGAAAGUGGUAAUUCCAUGUGUAGCGGUGAAAUGCGUAGAGAUAUGGAGGAACACCAGUGGCGAAGGCGACUUUCUGGUCUGUAACUGACACUGAGCGCGAAAGCGUGGGGAGCAAACAGAUUAGAUACCCUGGUAGUCCACGGCGUAAACGAUGAGUGCUAAUGUACAACCA
rnacentral:rRNA from 1 species